rnacentral:rRNA from 1 species
CCUACGGGAGGCAGCAGUGGGGAAUAUUGCACAAUGGGGGAAACCCUGAUGCAGCGACGCCGCGUGAGUGAAGAAGUAAUUCGUUAUGUAAAGCUCUAUCAGCAGGGAAGAAAAUGACGGUACCUGAGUAAGAAGCCCCGGCUCACUACGUGCCAGCAGCCGCGGUACUACGUAGGGGGCAAGCGUUAUCCGGAUUUACUGGGUGUAAAGGGAGCGUAGACGGCAGUGCAAGUCUGGAGUGAAAGGCGGGGGCUCAACCCCCGGACUGCUCUGGAAACUGUACGGCUGGAGUGCAGGAGAGGUAAGUGGAAUUCCUAGUGUAGCGGUGAAAUGCGUAGAUAUUAGGAGGAACACCAGUGGCGAAGGCGGCUUACUGGACUGUAACUGACGUUGAGGCUCGAAAGCGUGGGGAGCAAACAGGAUUAGAUACCCCUGUAGUC